rnacentral:lncRNA from 1 species
UUUCCUUUGAAAUAUGUACCAAUCAAAGUACAUAGAAGAGUGUAAAAAAUAUCCUCUUUUGUGAUAGCAGUUUUGUAAGUCAAAGGUGAAUGACAGAGACACACGUGCAGCCCAGCAUCCUUGGUGAGUCACAAGAGCACUUAGAAGUGCAUUUGCUCUGGACAACGCGUGAAUGUGAACAGGACCUACAGCUACCAUCUAUCAUGACUUGAGACUAGAGGGAGAAAUUAUUUAUUAGGCAAAGAAGAAAAAGUGAGGCUGAUUUGACAUAAAGAAAAAGCUUCACCUGACCAAAACAAACUAAUUUUUGAAGGAAAACAAACAAGUAAAUAUGAUUACAUUUGACUCAAGUUGCCAUUCCAGUAGAAGUGAGUAAUAUUUUUCCUUGGAAAUGCCGCUUUUUGUUUUUGGUGAGAAAUCAGUAGCAAUCCAUCGUAGAAAUUCUCUUUGGGCUUGAUUUACUCACAUUAAAGCGCCACGCCUGGAGAAAAUCUCUCUGUGAACCUAGUUACUUAGUGCUUAUUAUGAGUUUUCACAAUUAAAAUGGUUUUCUUUAGCAUGAUAUUUGUAGGAAGGAAAUAUUUUAAAAUGAAGUUUGAUCGUCUCUUGGUCCUUUCUUCACAUGGUUUCAUUUCCUACCUUGUGCAAAAUACUUUCAAUUGGACAACUUUGGAAAGAUUGUUCUGCGAGCAGUGGAAUGGAGCAAUGACAGUAGAACUUCCACCAAGGCUUCUUCAGGAGCGUGGAUGGAAGGAACUGAACUGGAUUAAAGAUAGUUGGUGGUACUGGCAUCCUGUUCCUCAGAGCAGAAAGUAAACUCCAGAGGAGUGGGAAGCCUCUAUUCCCCUGAAAACUUGAAGACUUUAUUCGUGGAGGCUCUGAAGUUAAGCAUGGUUAAGUUAAGUAAAGGCAAUAAAACUGAAGCCAAUUGAGACA